rnacentral:rRNA from 1 species
GAUGAUCGCUGGCGGCGUGCCUAAUACAUGCAAGUCGAGCGAACGGACGAGAAGCUUGCUUCUCUGAUGUUAGCGGCGGACGGGUGAGUAACACGUGGAUAACCUACCUAUAAGACUGGGAUAACUUCGGGAAACCGGAGCUAAUACCGGAUAAUAUUUUGAACCGCAUGGUUCAAAAGUGAAAGACGGUCUUGCUGUCACUUCUAGAUGGAUCCGCGCUGCAUUAGCUAGUUGGUAAGGUAACGGCUUACCAAGGCAACGAUGCAUAGCCGACCUGAGAGGGUGAUCGGCCACACUGGAACUGAGACACGGUCCAGACUCCUACGGGAGGCAGCAGUAGGGAAUCUUCCGCAAUGGGCGAAAGCCUGACGGAGCAACGCCGCGUGAGUGAUGAAGGUCUUCGGAUCGUAAAACUCUGUUAUUAGGGAAGAACAUAUGUGUAAGUAACUGUGCACAUCUUGACGGUACCUAAUCAGAAAGCCACGGCUAACUACGUG